rnacentral:rRNA from 1 species
AUACAGGGCAAUUGUCUUGUAAUUGGAAUGAUGGUGACCUAAACCCUCACCAGAGUAACAAUUGGAGGGCAAGUCUGGUGCCAGCAGCCGCGGUAAUUCCAGCUCCAAUAGCGUAUAUUAAACUUGUUGCAGUUAAAAAGCUCGUAGUUGAAUUUCUGCGUUAUCGGUUUCCUUGCUUUAGCCUGGAUUCCAUAGCGCUUUAGGGCUUGUCCCUUUUACUUUGAGAAAAUUAGAGUGUUUCAAGCAGACGUUUGUCUUGAAUACUUCAGCAUGGAAUAAUAGA